GUGGUCACCCAGGAGGUGUGGCCAGGGCUCAGCGUUGUCGUGAGAGCAGUGAGGACAAGACGCCUGCCGAGAGGGAGCUCCACGCUGGACACCGUCGGUCAGCAGCCCCUGCAGCUUGAGCACCGAGGGCUGCGGGCAGCGGGGCAGCAGGCCCGGACCCCGAGACCGCGUCACGGGGCCAGUGUUCCCGGCAGCGAGGCCCCGCCUGCGUGCCUUCAGGAACACGGCAGCUCCCAUCUUGGAGGCGGUGACAGUUACGUAACAGACUGCAGCCGUGCAGCUGAGCGGAGCCAAAGGGGGGGGGGGGGGCGUCUCAGAAGGCGCCUUAGUGCCGAGGGAGGGUGUGACGGAGGAGGAGGUGGCGGGAGCCACCAAGCCCCGGCCCCGGAGACGCCCGCCCGCCCUGUGCCUCGCACGCAGCCAGAAAAACGCCUCCUGACCUUGGCCGUGAGGCCGGCUGGGGGCGAGGAAAGUCUGCCUUGCAUUUGCCGUAUUGCCAGUGACUUCUUACUCCUAGGAGUGCUUUCACACCGAAGCUUCGCAGUGCAACGUCAGCCUGAAGAAGCACAGGAACCGCAGCCUGCUCAGCUCCUUCUUCUGCUGCUUCCGGGACCACAGUGCGGAGGCCCCCCCGGCCAGCGGCCCCAGCGCGCUGCCGCCCCUGGUGGAGGAGAACGGCGGGCUCCAGAAGGUCAGUGCCGCGGGGGCUGCGCCCGGCCCCGCUGCUGGCCGCGUCCCUGCCCGUCCCCGGAAGGUGUCCUCGCACACAUGCGCACAUACAGGCAUGCACACACACACGCACACAUGCUCACACGCACAGUGCUGACGGGGGGCUGCGCCCAGCCCCGCUGGCGGCCGCAUCCCUGCCCGUCCCUGACAGGUGUCCUCGUGCACACGCACACACACACGUAACUGGAGAGCACACUUAGUGGGAGUUAUCAGAGUCACUUCACAUUUGUAUCACAUCCUCUUUCAAGAAGUUGAUGCGUGAAGUAGAGUUACAGACCCAUUGGGGCUGGCACUGGUGUUUGUGGCGUAGCAGGUAAGGCCACCUCCCGAGACGCUGGCAUUCUCUACGGGCGCCAGUUCGAGUCCUGGCUGCUCCACUUCCCAACCAGCUCCCUGCUAACGUGCCUGGGAAGAGCAGUGGAGGAGGGCCAAGUCUUCGUGCCCUCCGAUGGGAGACUUUGUGCCUGGGAGACUCAGAUGAAGCGCCAGGCUCCUGGCUUCGGCCUGGCCCAGCCCUGGCCGUGGCGGCCAUCUGGUGAGUGAACCGCUGGAUGGAAGAUCUGUCUCCAUCUCUACUCUCUGUAACUCUGACGUUCAAAAUAAGGAGCCAGCAGCAGACACACAAAUGGAAACCAGGGAGCCACGCACAGGGAAGAGCUGGCCAUCAAUAGAUCUGUAAUGCAGUGUGACUUCCUCGUGGAAUAGCAGUCAUGUGUUAAUAGUCCCUUGUAUGUAUCAGAUUUAAAAAUAGAAGUCAGUGGUCUGCGCCGCAGCUCAAUAGGCUAAUCCUCCACCUUGCGGCGCCGGCACACCGGGUUCUAGUCGGGGCGCCGGAUUCUGUCCCGGUUGCCCCUCUUCCAGGCCAGCUCUCUGCUGUGGCCCGGGAGUGCAGUGGAGGAUGGCCCAAGUGCUUGGGCCCUGCACCCCAUGGGAGACCAGGAGAAGCACCUGGCUCCUGCCUUCGGAUCAGCGCGAUGUGCCAGCCGCGGCGGCCAUUGGAGGGUGAACCAACAGAAAAGGAAGACCUUUCUCUCUCUCUCUCUCACUGUCCACUCUGCCUGUCAAAAAAAAAAAAAAUUAAAAAAAAUAGAAGUCAGAUCGUCACCACAGGUCAAGAACCAAAAUCUCUCCAGGUGCUGAUAGACACACCCCAGACAAAGGCGCACGGCGAGCAAUGAGAUUUAUGACGACGAACCCAGUGCAAAUGGUGGCAGCACAAACCUGUCAAAAGAGAAUUCUGGGUAAAAUCCGCUGGAAGAGGCACAGGGGAUUGUUUGCUUUAGGCUGAAGGUAGAGGACAGAAAGGUCAGAACACUUCAUGUCCCGAACGCCAGGAGCAGGGCGGGAAGACAGCUGGUCAGGUACGGGAGAAGCGGGGAGUGCUGCACGUGGUUAGCAAAGAAGUGCAGGCCAAGACCACGGCACCUUGGCCGCCAGUCACAUCACCAAACCCUCCUGCAGGCGAGGUUUGGAUUUAGCUCGGGGUGGCAGGGGCAGGUGAGGGUGCCGGGUGGUCGUGGGUAAGAGUGCGGCGUGGGUACAGCUCCGCUGGUGACCGUUUGGCCACCUGACCUCCACUGCUGUUUUGUUUUGGUUAUUCAGUGCCAUACUUGUACACUGUUACGGGGCACAUGCAGUUUUUCAGCAAGUGUACCCAGCAUAAGCUGACCCAGCAGUAAUUCCUUACACCUUAAACCUGUCUCUGGCUGUCAGUCAGGCCGGUCCACUUUAUGGACGAAACUGGGCAGCACCGGGCCUGGCGUUGUGGCACAGGGGGUGGACUGCCACUCGAGACAACAGCAUCUGACCCUGGAGAGCUGGCUGGGUCCUGGCCGCACUGCUUCCCACCCACUCCUGGGGAGGCAGCGGAAGAUGGCCCAGUGCCUGGCCUCUGCCACCCCGCUGGGGGACCAGAGAGCUCCAGGAUGGUGCCGGCCUGGCUGGGGCGGCCAUUUGGAGAGUGAAGCAGCAGAUGGAAGACCUCUGGCUCUCUGCCUUUGAAAUAAACAAAUCGACAAAUCCUUUUUUUAUUUAUGA
rnacentral:lncRNA from 1 species